UUAUGGCCACAUCAUGUUGAAACACUGGGCCCCGUAAAUCCACUGAAGUUAAGCAAUGUUGAGCCAGGUCAGUACCCUGAUGGGUGAAAGCUUGAGAAUACCGGGUGCUGUAAG